rnacentral:rRNA from 2 species
UCCACAAUGGACGAAAGUCUGAUGGAGCAACGCCGCCUGAGUGAAGAAGGUUUUCGGAUCGUAAAACUCUGUUGUUGGAGAAGAAUGUAUCUGAUAGUAACUGAUCAGGUAGUGACGGUAUCCAACCAGAAAGCCAGGGCUAACUACGUGCCAGCAGCCGCGGUAAUACGUAGGUGGCAAGCGUUGUCCGGAUUUAUUGGGCGUAAAGCGAGCGCAGGCGGUUUCUUAAGUCUGAUGUGAAAGCCUUCGGCUCAACCGAAGAAGUGCAUCGGAAACUGGGAAACUUGAGUGCAGAAGAGGACAGUGGAACUCCAUGUGUAGCGGUGAAAUGCGUAGAUAUAUGGAAGAACACCAGUGGCGAAGGCGGCUGUCUGGUCUGUAACUGACGCUGAGGCUCGAAAGCAUGGGUAGCAAACAGGAUUAGAUACCCUGGUAGUCCAUGCCGUAAACGAUGAGUGCUAGGUGUUGGAGGGUUUCCGCCCUUCAGUGCCGCAGCUAACGCAUUAAGCACUCCGCCUGGGGAGUACGACCGCAAGGUUGAAACUCAAAGGAAUUGACGGGGGCCCGCACAAGCGGUGGAGCAUGUGGUUUAAUUCGAAGCAACGCGAAGAACCUUACCAGGUCUUGACAUCCUUUGACCACUCUAGAGAUAGAGCUUUCCCUUCGGGGACAAAGUGACAGGUGGUGCAUGGUUGUCGUCAGCUCGUGUCGUGAGAUGUUGGGUUAAGUCCCGCAACGAGCGCAACCCUUAUUACUAGUUGCCAGCAUUAAGUUGGGCACUCUAGUGAGACUGCCGGUGACAAACCGGAGGAAGGUGGGGACGACGUCAAAUCAUCAUGCCCCUUAUGACCUGGGCUACACACGUGCUACAAUGGAUGGUACAACGAGUUGCGAGACCGCGAGGUUUAGCUAAUCUCUUAAAACCAUUCUCAGUUCGGAUUGUAGGCUGCAACUCGCCUACAUGAAGCCGGAAUCGCUAGUAAUCGCGGAUCAGCAUGCC